rnacentral:rRNA from 1 species
AUUGAACGCUGGCGGCAUGCCUUACACAUGCAAGUCGAACGGUAACAGGUCUUCGGAUGCUGACGAGUGGCGAACGGGUGAGUAAUACAUCGGAACGUGCCCAGACGUGGGGGAUAACGAGGCGAAAGCUUUGCUAAUACCGCAUACGAUCUAAGGAUGAAAGCAGGGGACCGCAAGGCCUUGUGCGUUUGGAGCGGCCGAUGGCAGAUUAGGUAGUUGGUGGGAUAAAAGCUUACCAAGCCGACGAUCUGUAGCUGGUCUGAGAGGACGACCAGCCACACUGGGACUGAGACACGGCCCAGACUCCUACGGGAGGCAGCAGUGGGGAAUUUUGGACAAUGGGCGAAAGCCUGAUCCAGCAAUGCCGCGUGCAGGAUGAAGGCCUUCGGGUUGUAAACUGCCUUUGUACGGAACGAAAAGGCUCUGGCUAAUACCUGGGGCACAUGACGGUACCGUAAGAAUAAGCACCGGCUAACUACGUG